AUUGAACGCUGGCGGCGUGCUUAACACAUGCAAGUCGUACGCGAAAGGGACUUCGGUCCCGAGUAAAGUGGCGCACGGGUGAGUAACACGUGGAUAAUCUGCCUCUAUGAUGGGGAUAACAGUUGGAAACGACUGCUAAUACCGAAUACGCUCAUGAUGAACUUUGUGAGGAAAGGUGGCCUCUGCUUGCAAGCUAUCGCAUAGAGAUGAGUCCGCGUCCCAUUAGCUAGUUGGUGGGGUAACGGCCUACCAAGGCAACGAUGGGUAGCCGAUCUGAGAGGAUGAUCGGCCACACUGGAACUGAAACACGGUCCAGACUCCUACGGGAGGCAGCAGUGGGGAAUAUUGCGCAAUGGGCGAAAGCCUGACGCAGCGACGCCGCGUGAGGGAUGAAGGUCUUCGGAUCGUAAACCUCUGUCAGAAGGGAAGAAACUAGGGUGCUCUAAUCAU
rnacentral:rRNA from 1 species